rnacentral:rRNA from 1 species
AGUGAACGCUGGCGGUAGGCCUAACACAUGCAAGUCGAACGGCAGCACAGCAGUAGCAAUACUGUGGGUGGCGAGUGGCGGACGGGUGAGGAAUACAUCGGAAUCUACCUUUUCGUGGGGGAUAACGUAGGGAAACUUACGCUAAUACCGCAUACGACCUUAGGGUGAAAGCGGAGGACCUUCGGGCUUCGCGCGGAUAGAUGAGCCGAUGUCGGAUUAGCUAGUUGGCGGGGAAAGGCCCACCAAGGCUACGAUCCGUAGCUGGUCUGAGAGGAUGAUCAGCCACACUGGAACUGAGACACGGUCCAGACUCCUACGGGAGGCAGCAGUGGGGAAUAUUGGACAAUGGGCGCAAGCCUGAUCCAGCCAUACCGCGUGGGUGAAGAAGG